CCCUUAGAUGUUCUGGGCCGCACGCGCGCUACACUGAUGCAUUCAACGAGUUUCUUCCUGGUCCGAGAGGAAUGGGUAACCUUUUGAAAGUGCAUCGUGAUAGGGAUAGACUAUUGCAAUUAUUGGUCUUCAACGAGGAAUUCCUAGUAGACGUAGUUCAUCAGACUGCAUCGAUUACGUCCCUGCCCUUUGUACACACCGCCCGUCGCUCCUACCGAUUGAAUGAUUUAGUGAGUACCAGGGACCGAGCGCUUUGGUUGGGUUUCCUUCCCUAGCGCUUGGGAACUGUCGCAAACUUGACCAUUUAGAGGAAGUAAAAGUCGUAACA
rnacentral:rRNA from 1 species